rnacentral:rRNA from 1 species
UAGGGAAUCUUCGGCAAUGGACGAAAGUCUGACCGAGCAACGCCGCGUGAGUGAAGAAGGUUUUCGGAUCGUAAAACUCUGUUGUUAGAGAAGAACAAGGACGUUAGUAACUGAACGUCCCCUGACGGUAUCUAACCAGAAAGCCACGGCUAACUACGUGCCAGCAGCCGCGGUAAUACGUAGGUGGCAAGCGUUGUCCGGAUUUAUUGGGCGUAAAGCGAGCGCAGGCGGUUUCUUAAGUCUGAUGUGAAAGCCCCCGGCUCAACCGGGGAGGGUCAUUGGAAACGGGGAGACUUGAGUGCAGAAGAGGGGAGUGGAAUUCCAUGUGUAGCGGUGAAAUGCGUAGAUAUAUGGAGGAACACCAGUGGCGAAGGCGGCUCUCUGGUCUGUAGCUGACGAUGAGGCUCGAAAGCGUGGGGAGCAAACAGG